rnacentral:rRNA from 1 species
GACGUAGGGGGCGAGCGUUGUCCGGAUUUAUUGGGCGUAAAGCGCGCGUAGGCGGCCCGUUAAGUCGGAUGUGAAAACCCGUGGCUCAACCACGGGCCUGCAUCCGAUACUGGCGGGCUCGAGGCAGGCAGGGGAGAUCGGAAUUCCUGGUGUAGCGGUGAAAUGCGCAGAUAUCAGGAGGAACACCGGUGGCGAAGGCGGAUCUCUGGAACGGUACUGACGCUGAGACGCGAAAGCGUGGGGAGCGAACAGG